rnacentral:lncRNA from 1 species
AACAGGUAGUACCUUUAAGCUUCCCACAUACAAGUGCCAGAUAGUUCCUGCUGCUCUUAUUUGGAGAUAUUAAAAUUGUUUAGGGAAAGUGCUUACAACCACUGAGUCUCUUCCAAAAACUGGUGACAAGUACAGAGAGGUAAUUGGAGUGUCUGAUGUGCAGUAUCUGUGUCACUGUGUUCCGCUAGAGGGAACAGCUGUGAUGUGUGGGGGAAAAGAAACCAUGAAAAGCCCACAGGGAUCUCUCCCAUAGCAUCCUGACCCUGCUCUGCUCCAGUAAACAUGGGAGACCUCAUGCCAUUGCACAGAGAGAUGACAGAAUCCACUGAAAGCAAUCUGCCAAUUACAUCUUACAGGAGUGUGGUAAUGUGACACAUUGCAUUUGAGGAGUCAGCACCUGUGAGGAGAAGAAAAGAUG